rnacentral:piRNA from 1 species
UAGUUCUUUAGAAUGCAGAAAGAAGGGUGU